AGCGAACGCUGGCGGCAGGCUUAACACAUGCAAGUCGAGCGGGCACUUCGGUGUCAGCGGCAGACGGGUGAGUAACACGUGGGAACGUACCCUUUGGUUCGGAAUAACGCUGGGAAACUAGCGCUAAUACCGGAUACGCCCUUUUGGGGAAAGGCUUGCUGCCGAAGGAUCGGCCCGCGUCUGAUUAGCUAGUUGGUGGGGUAAUGGCCUACCAAGGCGACGAUCAGUAGCUGGUCUGAGAGGAUGAUCAGCCACACUGGGACUGAGACACGGCCCAGACUCCUACGGGAGGCAGCAGUGGGGAAUAUUGGACAAUGGGCGCAAUCCUGAUCCAGCCAUGCCGCGUGAGUGAUGAAGGCCUUAGGGUUGUAAAGCUCUUUUGUCCGGGACGAUAAUGACGGUACCGGAAGAAUAAGCCCCGGCUAACUUCGUG
rnacentral:rRNA from 1 species